GCAUUUCACUGUAAGAUCUACACCUGUUGUAUUUGGCGCAUGUGACAAAUAAACUCCUCCAUCUCAAGAACUACAGUACCUCCUCAUGUAUACUCCAAAUGCUAUUAUGCUUGGGCUGUACUUUGUUAGAUUAAUAUCUCACAUUAAAAUGCGCUCUUUCAUAGUUUCAUUCUGUCUUUCAUAUCAUACAUAGUCCACCAAAUCACAGAUGAUUUAAUCAGACCUACAUACAGUAUAUAUCACAUUGCACAUGGUCUCCACCUACAUACUGCUGUAUAGAAGUUUGACUGACAGGGGGAUGAAGGAGGGCUUAUAUCUGUUCAGCUUACGCUGAGGAACCCUGUUGCGUCUGCCUGAGGGGAGAAGCUGAAACUCUGGGUGGAGUACAUGGGAGGGGAAAUUAUAUUCUUGUAGUGUUUCAUGAUUGUUCAAAGACAGACGACAGUGACGGGUGCUACCUCACUCCCAUCAUCUGUAUGGCUGUCUGGACCAGGCAAUUGAUUUGUGAUUUUAAGGUAACUGACAAGUUGCCAAACCAAGCUGAAAUGCCAUAGAAUGCUCUUUAUAACAGCCUGGUAGAAUAGGACCAUGACCUUCUGUUUGACUCCAAAAAUCUGGAACCUACACAGGAAAUAAAGGCGUUGUUGGAUCCUAGCAUUUGUAAGAGUGGACAUGAGUAAUGUUCACAUUAUAGACCACAACAUGUGAGUGGUCACCAACAGAUUUGGGAUGAAAAACCAUUGGACUAAGCAUUUAAUUAGCUUUUAUAAACAUCCUUAGAAUGCGCUGGCUAGAGAAUGUGUUAGGCUCUGAGGUUUGUAUGUCCAUGCAGAAGACACAAAUGAUUUAAUUCAAUAUAGUACAUUCUGAUUAAUAGCCUAUGUAUGGCUGUUUUCCCUUUAACUGUCUACAUAAAACAUGUAUGUUAUUGUGAGUCACUCACUGCAAAUGCACUAUGUUGUUACCUGAUGGAAAAGACUGCUCCGUGACUUUUGUGGCCCAUACACUGGGGAAGGCUUGUGUUCAGUGGUAAGCAAGGCUGCAUUCAACAUGUUUUCAUCCUGCAUUGAUCAUUGUCAACUGCAACACUUUUCCAUUCAUCAGAAGAGUUACAUAAUUGUGUGUCUCUUUCUGCAUGGUUAAUGUGCUGGCCCCUCACUUCUCCUCCUGCACGCACUCAGACAGGGUGUGGCAGAGGGUGUGCUAGAAGCUGCUGGAGAAUGUCCCGGAGUUCUGGCUGGAGAGUGCUCACUGGGCCGGUGAAGGCUGUCAACAGGUCUGACAGAGAUCCAGGAUCAUGGGGAACCUGGUGUUGAAGAACAAAAAGGCCCGGUUUGUCGUCGCCCAUAAACUGCUGCUGCUCCAAUACAAGAAUGAGACUGGUGUUUUGAGGAUUCUUCUGGGGUACCUGGCUCAGGACAGGGAGAGACCACUACUUAUACAGGUGCUGCGAGCGAUGUACCAUGCCUGGGCCAACCCCCUCUGGACUACUGAGUGAUGCAGAGCUACAGGAGCUACGCUCAGGAACAUCCCCAACUGUAGAACCUUUUGAGGAUCUGAGGACCCAUGCCAAAUAUUUUCAGUCUCCUAGGCAGGAAUAGGUUUUGUCAUGCCCUCUUCACGACUGUCCUGGUGUGCUUGGACCAUGUUAGUUUGUAUUGUGUCACACGAUCAGAGCUGUUCACACUAUUUUCUGACCUGUCCACCUCCGGGUUGUAUUCAUUUGAGAAAUGAAAAAAAAAAAUCUUAUGAAAACAACUGACUGUUUUGUUGUGGGAAUUGUCCAUGUAGGCUACCUGGGGCGGCAGGUAGAGCGUUGGGCCAGUAUCCGAAAGGUUGCUGAAUCAAAUCCCCGAGCU